AAGAGAAUGCCUGAAAAAGGGUUAUUUUGAUGUAAUAAAUUAUGUUUAAAAUUUUAAACUUCUCUUA
rnacentral:tRNA from 1 species